rnacentral:rRNA from 1 species
CACGUAGGGGGCGAGCGUUGUCCGGAUUUAUUGGGCGUAAAGAGCUCGUAGGCGGCUCAGUAAGUCGGGUGUGAAAACUCCAGGCUCAACCUGGAGACGCCACCCGAUACUGCUGUGGCUAGAGUCCGGAAGAGGAGAGUGGAAUUCCUGGUGUAGCGGUGAAAUGCGCAGAUAUCAGGAGGAACACCCGUGGCGAAAGCGGCUCUCUGGGACGGUACUGACGCUGAGACGCGAAAGCGUGGGGAGCAAACAGG